rnacentral:tRNA from 1 species
GGUAGGAUGGCCGAGGGCAUAGGCGGCGGAUUGUAGCUUCGCUAACAAAGGUUUAAGUCCUUUUCUUAUC